rnacentral:hammerhead_ribozyme from 1 species
GCAUACCUGAAGAGUCCCACAAUAGGACGAAAUGGCCGUCCAGUGC